GGUGGAGCGAUUUGUCUG
rnacentral:ncRNA from 2 species